rnacentral:lncRNA from 1 species
UUUUUUUUUUUUUUUUUUUAGAUUAAGGUAUUAUAUGUUUUUAUUAAGACGUAUGAGCGAAAUUGUAUACUUUUUGUAACAUUUUGCAUACAUGUGUUUAAUCAUAUUUAAGCAUAUAUAUAUAAAUAUAUAUAAAAGGAAUAAUACGCUAAAGUAUAUAUUCAAUAGCAAUGUAAUGAAAUUGUAUUUUUACUUUUUACAAAAAAAGUUUACGAAAUAAAAAUAAAGUAUUAGCUUAUUUGGUAAAUCCUGUGUUUACAGCUUUUAACUCAGAUUAAUUUUAUACACUUUUAUCAAAUUUAUUUGUAAUCCGUUUAUUAUGAUUAAUAAUAAUUAUUUUUAAAUUUUUUAUUAGCUUUUUAUUCACACUAUUGAGCAUUUUAUAAGUUCUUUUAAGUUUUUUAAGCUUAAAAUAAUUUCAAAACUAGUAUGAAUAAUGCUUUUGCUUUUUAUUAUUUUUUAAGUAAGAUGAAGCAUAUUUAUAAUAAUACCCUCUAAAUCCCUUUUUUCUUUUUUUUUUUUUUUUUUUUUUUUUUCUGCUAAGAAAUUAUGUAAGUUGGGGAUAGACAAUAUAUACAUUGUGAAAUGCUCAUUAUUAUUAUUUUAUUAUUUUAUUAUUAUUACAUAUAUUUUUUUUUUNNNNNNNNNNAAAAACGAAACAAUUGGUGAACGAAAUGGUAGUCAAGAAGUACAUAAAAUAAAAAGUGACAAUGAGAAUAGCAAUAAUUGUAGCAACAGUAAUAACAAUAAAAGAAAUGACAAUAGCAAUAAGAGUGAUGUUAAUAAAAAUGAUCAAGAUUCUUAUAUAUAUACACUGCACAGAUUAGAUAAAUUAACUUCAGGUAUUGUUCUUUUCGGUAAAAACAAAGAAUUUUCUACUUUAUUUGCUCAAAAUAUAUCUAAUAAUAAAAUCAAAAAAUUUUACAUCACAAGAGUUGAAGGUGAUUUUAGACUAUUAAUAGAAAAACUGUUAAAAGAGAAAAGAAUUUUAAAAAAGCGUAGUAACAAUAGUGGAACUAGUUAUACGGUUGCCACAAACAAUACUACAACUACUGGUAUUACACAGGAUAGCACUACUACAAGGACACAUACUAAUACUGAUAAUAAUACUGAUAAUAAUACUGAUAAUAAUACUGAUAAUAAUACCGAUAAUAAUACCGAUAUAAAUAAAAUUAUCGAAGAGUACUGCAAUUAUGGCUCUAAACCAGAUACUCCUUUACAAUUUAAUGAUCAUGAUUUAUUUCAAAACGAUAUAUUUUUAUAUGAGAACGAAUAUAACAAAGAAGAAAACAAUAUAAAUACCAACACACAUAUGAAUAUGAAAACAUUAAUUAAUAUUAUAAAAGAAAAUAAAAAUUAUUUACAACACGAUUUUGAUAUAAGUAAAUUUGAAGAAGAAAUUAAAAUUCAAAAUCAAAACCAAAAUCAAAAUAUUGAACAUAAAAAUACUAAUAUAAAUGAAAAUAAUAAUUUUGAUUUAUACUAUAAAUAUUUUAUUAUUGAUUUUGGUUAUAUGUACUGUGAAAGUAAAAAACUUUUGAAAUAUGUUUUUACAAAAUAUACUAAAGAUAAUUCGAACAUUAUAAAUAAAUAUUCUAUAAAACCAAGUGUU